rnacentral:rRNA from 1 species
UAGUAGCUGCGAGUGAAGCGGAAAAGCUCAAAUUUAAAAUCUGGCAGUCUUUUUUUUCUUCUUUGGCUGUCUGAGUUGUAAUCUAGAGAAGUGCUUACCUGCACUGGACCAUGUAUAAGUCUCCUGGAAUGGAGCCUCACAGAGGGUGAGAAUCCCGUCUUUGACAUGGACUGCCAGUGUGUUGUGGUGUGCUCUCAAAGAGUCGAGUUGUUUGGGAAUGCAGCUCUAAAUGGGUGGUAAACUCCAUCUAAAGCUAAAUAUUGGCGAGAGACCGAUAGCGAACAAGUACCGUGAGGGAAAGAUGAAAAGGACUUUGGAAAGAGAGUUAAACAGUAUGUGAAAUUGUUGAAAGGGAAACGCUUGAAGUCAGUUAUGUUGGCUAGGGAUCAACCUAGCUAUUUAUUGCUGGGUGAAUUUCCUAGUCUGACAGGCCAAUGUCAGUCUUGACUGCUAGAAAAGAGCAGAGGGAAUGUGGCACCUUUGGGUGUGUUAUAGCUCUUUGUCAUAUGUGGCAGUUGGGACUGAGGGAUGCAGCGUGCCGUGAGGCUGGGUUUCGACCACGUUCGCGCUUAGGAUGUUGGCUUUUAAUGGCUUCAAUCGACCCGUCUUGAAACACGGACCAAGGAGUCUAACAUGCCUGCAAGUGUUUGGGUGGUGAAAACCCUUGUGCACAAUGAAAGUGAAAGUUGAGAUCCCUGUCAUGGGGAGCAUCGACGCCCGGACCUGAGCUUUUAGCAAAGGAUCUGCGGUAGAGCAUGCAUGUUGGGACCCGAAAGAUGGUGAACUAUGCCUGAAUAGGGCAAAGCCAGAGGAAACUCUGGUGGAGGCUCGUAGCGAUUCUGACGUGCAAAUCGAUCGUCAAAUUUGGGUAUAGGGGCGAAAGACUAAUCGAACCAUCUAGUAGCUGGUUCCUGCCGAAGUUUCCCUCAGGAUAGCAGAAGCUCAUUAUCAGAUUUAUGUGGUAAAGCGAAUGAUUAGAGGCCUUGGGGUUGAAACAACCUUAACCUAUUCUCAAACUUUAAAUAUGUAAGAACGAGUUGUCACUUGACUGGACUGCUCGGUGAUUGAGAGCUUCUAGUGGGCCAUUUUUGGUAAGCAGAACUGGCGAUGCGGGAUGAACCGAUCGCAAGGUUAAGGUGCCAGAGUUCACGCUCAUCAGACACCACAAAAGGUGUUAGUUCAUCUAGACAGCAGGACGGUGGCCAUGGAAGUCGGAAUCCGCUAAGGAGUGUGUAACAACUCACCUGCCGAAUGAACUAGCCCUGAAAAUGGAUGGCGCUUAAGCGUGACACCCAUACCUUGCU